ensembl:snRNA U6 U6 spliceosomal RNA
GUGCUCACUUCGGCAGCAUAUAUACUAAAAUUGGAACGAAACAGAAGAUUAGCAUGGCCCCUGAGCAAGGAUGACACGCAAAUUUGUGAAGCGUUCCAUAUUAAA